UACGUAGGGGGCAAGCGUUGUCCGGAUUUAUUGGGCGUAAAGAGCGUGUAGGCGGCCAGGCAGGUCAGCUGUGAAAACUCGAGGCUCAACCUCGAGACGCCGGUUGAAACCAUCUGGCUAGAGUCCGGAAGAGGAGAGUGGAAUUCCUGGUGUAGCGGUGAAAUGCGCAGAUAUCAGGAAGAACACCAAUGGCGAAGGCAGCACUCUGGGACGGUACUGACGCUGAGACGCGAAAGCGUGGGGAGCAAACAGG
rnacentral:rRNA from 1 species